AGAAACAUGUUUUACAAUAGAAAAUUAGCUUUUUUAAAAAAUAAAAUAUAAGUUGUGGUUCCCUAUUAUUAACCCGAGAAUGAUAGUUCAUAGCUCAAUGGAUGUUCAAUCACUGAUUUAUUUCCUUCAAAAGAAUAAAAUUUAUCCAAUUUUUCAAGGAUUUUUUCAAGUAAUGUAAAUGUAGGUCACUAUUAUUAUAUUCAAUUUUUUGUCUUUUGUUUUUGUUCUAUUGAGCUUAAGCAAUCCAACAUUUCUAUUACAUUGACUAUAGUGAUUGCAUUAUUUUUAAUUGCAGCAUAGUCAGUCUAUAGUUGAUGUAUCAUUACUUACUAAACUAUUAUUUAAAUUUAAAUAUUAAUAAGCCUUCUAAAAUUCAGACUAUUGAUUAGAUACAAAUAUAUCUAUACACAUUACUCUGGAAACGUGGAUGAUAAUGUGUUGAACUAUGAGAACGAAAUGAGGAUGUUGUUAAAUCAUCGAAGGCACAAAUCUGGAGUCUUUUAGUUCUUCAAGUUCUGUAUGCAUGUUGCUUGCUUUGAAAUGUUUUACUAAUAUAUUUGUAAUCUUUUAGAUGAAAGAAGGAGGAAGUGAAAAUGUUCUUGCAAUAUAAAACUUGUUUAAAGUAUUUGGAAUCAUCCUCCCCCUUUGCGGUUCUGCCAUUGCAUCACCUCCAUCGAUACACUGAAGAUAGUUAAUCUGCAUUCAUUUUGGCCCUCUAUUGUUGGUGUAGGAUAUUCUCAAAUCAUUAUGCUCCUUCCUUCCUUGACCAUAGCUGCUAUCACAGUAGCACUCAAGGCUCAAGAAAUCAUCAAUCAUCAUUGCAAAAAAUAAAGACAAAGGAAAUCAAGAUUUGCUGCCUAGUUAUUGUUGAAGAAAUGGAAAUCAAGAAAAAUGAAAGAAAAUAGAAAAAUUUGUAUUUAUAGACAGUUUUGAUGUGUAAAAAUAAUGGGCAAUCCUUUGAUAUUUAUAGACAAAGGUUUGAACAUAAAAAUAUAAGUGUAGGUGUAAAGUUUGUGUGCACUC